AUGUUAGCUUCAGCUCCACUGCUGCUGCUGGCUCUCGCCCCCUAUGUGUUCUGUGCUACUGAGCUCAUCCAGCCAGACUCACUGCUUAUAAAGCCAGGAGAGACUUUAACCAUCACCUGUAAAGUGUCUGGAGCUUCUAUCACUGAUAGCAGCAGCCAUUUUGGAACAGCUUGGAUUCGACAACCUGCAGGAAAAGCUUUAGAAUGGAUCAAUUUAAUUUAUUAUGAUGGAGAUAUUCGUCAAAAAGAUUCACUUAAAGACAAGUUUGUCAUCUCUCGAGACACUUCCAGUAACACAGUGACCUUACGGGGACAGAACAUGCAGACUGAAGACACAGCUGUGUAUUACUGCGCUCGUGAUCCACACAACUCCUGCAGUCAGACACUGACCGAGUCUGAUCCAGUGACCUGGAGCACAGUGACAUUAACAGGGCAGAACAUUGGAGAGGAUUGGAUACAUCAGUAG